rnacentral:rRNA from 1 species
UACGGAGGGUGCGAACGUUAAUCGGAAUUACUGGGCGUAAAGCGCGCGUAGGCGGUUCGGCAAGUGGGAUGUGAAAGCCCCGGGCUUAACCUGGGAAUUGCGUUCCAAACCACCGAGCUAGAGUAUGGUAGAGGGAGGUAGAAUUUCCUGUGUAGCGGUGAAAUGCGUAGAUAUAGGAAGGAAUACCGGUGGCGAAGGCGGCCUCCUGGACCAAUACUGACGCUGAGGUGCGAAAGCGUGGGGAGCAAACAGG